rnacentral:tRNA from 3 species
GGGGAUAUAGCUCAGUUGGCUAGAGCGUGUGACUGGCAGUCACAAGGUCAGGGGUUCGAUUCCCCUUAUCUCCA